rnacentral:rRNA from 1 species
UACGUAGGGCGCAAGCGUUGUCCGGAAUUAUUGGGCGUAAAGAGCUCGUAGGCGGUUUGUCGCGUCUGCUGUGAAAACCCGAGGCUCAACCUCGGGCCUGCAAUGGGUACGGGCAGACUAGAGUGCGGUAGGGGAGACCGGAAUUCCUGGUGUAGAGGUGGAAUGCGCAGAUAUCAGGAGGAACACCGAUGGCGAAGGCAGGUCUCUGGGCCGCAACUGACGCUGAGGAGCGAAAGCAUGGGUAGCGAACAGGAUUAGAUACCCUGGUAGUCCAUGCCGUAAACGUUGGGCACUAGGUGUGGGACUCAUUCCACGAGUUCCGUGCCGCAGCUAACGCAUUAAGUGCCCCGCCUGGGGAGUACGGCCGCAAGGCUAAA